CUCUCUCCUAAAGUAAUAGGAGUAAGCUUUCCCUCAGCCUUUGCUCAGUGGGAUUCUAAGAGAAGGACCAGAGUCCUUGCUCCUGGGUAUCAGAAUCAUCUCAUUUUGACACCAAACUCUGGCAUCUACAGAUUCUGAGUAACGUGUUCCUGCUUCUUGGGAAAGCUUGGCCAGUCCCUCGUGGCCAUCAGAGCAUGACAGCCCAUCUGUUAGCUGGAGAUCACUUCAUUUAAGGGCAUGGGAGGCGUGGAGUGGUGGACACGCAGAUGGGGUUGUCUCCACCAGAAAAUGUUGCUUGCAAGGAACAGAAAUAGUCCACGGUUAAAAAGGAAGGAGGACAAAAGAAAUUCAAUGGAAAUAUGUGGGUUCAUUCUACACAGCUGAAUGGGAAGCUCAGCAACUA